UCCAGGUGCAGCUCAGUUGCCGUGAUGCUCCUUGAGUCAAUGAGCUCUUUGGUCUGCUCUUCUGCUCAAGCAGAAAAUGAUCUGCGCUUCACCCUUGAGAAGCUGACAAGAACCACAGGCUUCUUCGGGCAGGUGGUGGAACAUGGGUGUAUCCUGCAGGUUCUCACAGUAUCUCCCUUUGCUCAGGCUCUAGCCUGAUUUUCUGGCUCAUAAGGCCAAAGGGAGCCGGAAAGGUCCCCACGGCAGGACUCAUGGUGGAGAGAGAAUGGUCUGGAGGAUUCAGGCCUCUGCACACUGUGUCUGGGUCCCUCCUUAAAGAAUGAUAAAGACAAGCAAAGAGCUUGAAGCAGCCUGGAGUCCAGCCAGAAACCUUUAACUGAGCUUUAAAGGAGAUGGUCACAACACUUUUCAGAAUACUGGCAAAGGCCUCCUGUGGCCAGGUUUGUCCUGGGAUGAGCAAAAUUUAAUGUUAACCUGCUGUAUCUUUGCUUUUAAUAUAUCUGCUUGCCCACCACAAUGACGUUAUGGUUAAUUUCACCAAUUUGGUAACCUGCCUCAUGGGAAGUACGAAAGUAAGCAAGGGCCAGGUGUGGUGACUCACGCCUGUAAUCCCAGUACUUUGGGUGGCUGAGGCAGGUGGAUUGCUUGAGCCCAGGAGUUCAAGACCAACCUGGGCACCAUGACAAAACCCCGUCUCUAAAAAAUAUACAAAAAUUAACCAGGGGUGGCAGUGCAUGGCUGUAAUCCCAGCUACUUGGAGGCUGAGGUGGGAGAAUCUCUUGAGCCUGGGAGGCAGAGGUUGCAGUGAGCUGAGAUCACACCACUGCAUUCCAGCCUGGGCAACGAAGUGAGACCCUGUCUCAAAAAAAAAAAAAAAAAAAAAAAGAGAAAGACAGUGAGGGUGUCCUGUGAAUCAAAUCUUUGAAUGGAUGUUUUCUUAACUAACCAAGACCUCUGUAAGAAUUCUGUCUUUGAUUCCACAAUAAAGUGGUGUGAAAUUACUAUAAGCAAAUGUUUACAUGUCUCAUUUAAUCUUCACAACAAUCCUAUGAGGCAAGUAGAAUUGUU
rnacentral:lncRNA from 10 species